AUUUAAUUUUGUGAAUAUGUCUGCAAGAUAUGCUACUUUGGAUAACCACAGAGAGUGUUUGUUAAUUGAUCAGAUAAUCCAAAUUUAUGAUCCUGAAAAUAUGCAAACAACUCUUGACGCAAUUGAAACAUUCUAACAAGGACUUUACCUUGUGAUAUCCAACGGACUUCUGAAUCCAAAAGCAGAGCAGAGUGGUGACUACCUAUAUCUUCACAUAUUAUUUUAAAUAGUUGUGACUGUAAUGGUCGAUUUUUUAUAAAAUUAAUAAUCUGGACUGAUUUGACUAGCACACUUUUAAGUGAGAUUUAAAUAUUUUUAGCUACUAUUGCAUGUCUGUAAAGAACACUGUGAGAACUGGUGCUGUUUUUUGCUGCAUUUCUUAUUUGUGUCACAGCGCCUGCCACUUUUUCAACCAUGACAUUUGCACCGUCGUUAUUUGGCAUUUGCUAUAAGCUUUAUUUUACCAUCAUCUCUCCUCUACUCACCUGCAGUACACCCAUCAUCUGAUUUCAGUGCCCAAGGCCUUGCAGAUUACAUCUUAAAAAUAAUUCUUACAAUAAGAUGCAACAUCCUGACACAAACGUAUAAUAUUCUGCCUACUGUUCUUCUUUGCUGCCUUCUUUACAGCUCACUACCUGCCUGCUCAACC